UAUUCCCCACUGCUGCCUCCCGUAGGAGUCUGGUCCGUGUCUCAGUACCAGUGUGGGGGACCUUCCUCUCAGAACCCCUACGCAUCGUCGCCUUGGUGGGCCGUCGCCCCGCCAACUAGCUAAUGCGCCGCAUGCCCAUCCCGUACCGCCGGAGCUUUCCCCCCGGGAGGAUGCCCUCUCGGGGACUACGGGGUAUUAGACCAAAUUUCUCUGGAUUAUCCCCCUGUACGGGGCAGGUUGCAUACGUGUUACUCACCAGUGCGCCGGUCGCCAUCGGGCAUAUUGCUAUGCCCAUGCUGCCCCUCGACUUGCAUGUGUUAAGCCUGCCGCCAGCGUUCAUCCUGAGCCAAA
rnacentral:rRNA from 1 species